GUAGUAGUGGUCGAUGUAGUAGUCUUCAUCUAAAAUUCGAAAUCAAAUCAACGAAUUUGAAUCCAGAGAGAUAAGAAGGAGAAGCACCGGUGGGGUUUGGGCGGGGUUUUCCAUUUUUCCCGCUCGCUUGGUUCCGUGCGAGAGAGAGAGAGGGAGAGAGAGAGAGAGAGAGAGAG